AAGCGUCUGCGAGUGGGUAUUAAAUUACCCUACAGCUGCGAAACCUUGCUGUUUCACUGACGGUCUGGGCAAACACCCCGUACGCCAGUGCAGCUGGGAACUCUGACACAACGCGCAGCAUACGCGAGCGCCUCAGUGAACCUUCUUCAACAGUCGACGUACCCGAGCGGACUGGGGCGUAACCAUGGCUGGCGCUCUGAGCGAAUGGAGUGCACCCACUGCGUACCGACGCUUGCUGCGUGCUUGUCGAGUUGCCUUUGGUGACGACAGGCGCACGUUGCGUGCAGCUGCGAGACUUGUUCGUCACGAGUUUGAGACCAGACCCCGAGUUCAGCAGCCGCUGGAAGCAGCGGAGGCACUGGCCCAAGUCCAAGAGGCCGAGCACGUGCUCCGCAACGAGAUCAAAAGAGUCGCGGUUUUUCGAGACUCGGGGUGAAAGUUGCCGGAGCACCACGGCAAGUGCUGUGGGAGCGUCCGGCUGGGGUUUUUCCGAGAACCGCGGCUUGCACACGCGUUCCUGGCGUACUCCAGUGAGGCCAGUAUAUGGCGAUGUCGGGGCGUGCCGCACGACUGCACUGUAACCGGCGCCUGUGAGCAAAGCACUUCCCUGGUGCGCUUCGCGUACCCACGAGAACGCGGGCUCAGUGUCCUCGUAGAGCGGCUUCCGUAAGAGCGUUCGCGGGGAACACAGCGUUGAUUCAGGAGGAAUACGCUCGGAUCCUUGCUUCCCGGGCCGCAAGUGUAUCCUCAUAUGUGAGUCGAGGUACAGUGCCGGCCUCGUAAGGCCUCUAGUGCUGCAUCGCUGCGGCAUUGGCUCGUCAGAUGUGACGCAGCGUUCAGUGCACCCGAUCCGGCAUUGGAGCUCGAUGAGAGGCCACGGUUGCACGACAUACCCGCUGUCACAAACCUCGGCGCUAUGUUCCGCAGACGACCAGUGGCGAAACGGCGAGAAUGCGCUUUAUGGUUCGCUCGCGAAAGCGGAGCACGCUCGAGUGCUUGCCAUCAAUGAACGGGGACUCGAGCGUGCUUCGUUUCGGGUAGGGCGCUCCUUUGCUCUAUUGGAUGGUACAGUACGAAGCAUGGACAGAGCAGGUGCCGUUGCCGCUUGAAGCAUAGACGCACAUCCGACCGGUUCGUGGUGCGCCAGCGUCGGGUCCUGAGCGCGGCAUGCACUGGUCGCCGCGCCUGAGUCCUCUUGGUGUGCACUGUCGACGGAGUACCGCAUUCGUAAGGUUGUUGAUACUUGCCGCUGGUGGCCCGUACACAAGCACCAUCAAAUCUGCGGCUAUUCUAGCGACCAUCAUGUUAUCGAAUACGAGGCACCUCGCAGGCAAUCGGUUUCUCGCUACCACGAAUGCGGGUGCUCAGACACCGACCAAGCACCUGGUUUUGCGUGUGUUCGCAGACUGACAAUGGAUGCUGUGCGCACCGACUCGUGUCUAGUGUGUCUGACGCGGACGAUGCGCCCUGGUAAUCCGCGGUCUGCCAUAUCGAGCACUGCGCUGCGCCGAACAUGGACCCUUGCUCAAUUCUCCGCAGGGGAGCCUCUUCUUCGUCGAAACGUAUACGCAGUGGCACGAUAACCAGCGAUUAAGGCACCGAAUUCAGACUGCGUCGGAAAGGGUCCAGUAACGCGGGCAUACAAUUUAUCGAUUGGAUCUCGUUUCAGUGUCUGGAAUACUGACCUAUCCGGGCUUUUUCUUUCACUGCUUCUUUCAUGUCUCGUAUCUUCGGCUUUAAAAUACGC